GUUCCGUAGGUGAACCUGCGGAAGGAUCAUU
rnacentral:rRNA from 1 species